rnacentral:rRNA from 1 species
AAUGAACGUUGGCGGCGUGGAUUAGGCAUGCAAGUCGAGCGUGUACCCGCAAGGGGAAAGCGGCAAACGGGGUAGGAACGCGUAGGUCACGUACCCCUCGGCCGGGGAUAGCCACGGGAAACUGUGGGUAAUACCCGAUGACGCCGAGAGGCCAAAGGUGUGAUUCCGCCGGGGGAGCGGCCUGCGUAGUAUUAGCUAGUUGGUGAGGUAACGGCUCACCAAGGCGAAGAUGCUUAGGGGGUGUGAGAGCAUGACCCCCACCACUGGGACUGAGAUACUGCCCAGACACCUACGGGUGGCUGCAGUCGAGAAUCUUCGGCAAUGGGGGCAACCCUGACCGAGCGACGCCGCGUGUGGGAUGAAGGCCCUUGGGUUGUAAACCACUGUCAGAGGGGAUGAAACGAUCAUGGGUUCUCCCAUGGUCCUGACAUAGCCUCAGAGGAAGCACGGGCUAAGUUCGUGCCAGCAGCCGCGGUAAUACGAACUGUGCAAACGUUAUUCGGAAUCACUGGGA